GCUGAAACCAGGGGGCUCAAUCAGCAGGUGGAAUCUAAGGCAGGACUUGCUCAUCCUCAACGAAGGCCAAAACAUUAGUGAAGAAAACAGAGGAAUCCUAACCAUCCCAGGACAAUCCCAGGAACCAGUUUGAGGUCAUCUGAACUUUGUAACAUGUAAUCAUCAUAUGACCAACUCUGAAAACUGAAAACAUCUUAAAGAUCUAACCUUCUCAUGUCCCCAUUUUAUUGUUUUUUCCAUUAAUUUCCAGGACGUCUAGGAAACGUCUGGCUGCAGCUGGAGUCACAACACGGAGCAGCCCGUGGCCUCUCUGGUCUGCAGGAUCCUGAUCAGGGCCGUGACUGUUUUCAGACCUGCUGAGACCUUAUCCACAGAUUUCAAAUGAAUCCCUUGCUGUUUGUGUUUGUUUGGUCUUACAUGAACACAGCUUGUCUGCGUAGCUCUCAGCCAUGACACCGGGGACAAUCGUUGGUUUGUGGAGUGCAAAAUAGAAGUGGGAAAUCGAUGACAACAACAUCCGCUGCUGGUGUAUCAUAGACUCUUUAU
ensembl:lncRNA